AUGCGGCGCUGGUGGCGACAGGGACGAGCAGAGGCAGGUUCCGGCGACGGGCGCGGAGACUUCCGGCGGUCUCCGGCCAAGGGGAUGGCACCGGAGGACUCUGGGAAAAGUACCGCGUCCAACCAGAGGGAGCAACGGCAUCGGAGAUGGGUGGAGGACGCGGGGGUGGAGGAGGACAAAGAGGAACAGGGGACGGGCGCCGGCUAUGGAGUAGGCUGCUCCGGCCGUCUCCGGCGACGCGAAGCACACCGGCGAGUGCGGGGCGUCGCAGCGGAUCCAUUCAGGGGCGAAGCGGUCGCCGGGGAGGGGUGGAGAGGAGAGGAGGCCGUGGCGACGAGGAACUACACAGGCGGCGGUGGUGGUGAGGUCUCCGAUGAUGCAGCCACUCCGGCGAGGGGGAAAGGGGGUGGGGCGGCUCGGUGGGACGAGGUAGACUCGAUGGACGUGGAGGGGAGGCUAGAGAGGGACUGGUUUGGCCGGAAUUGA
rnacentral:rRNA from 1 species